GACGAACGCUGGCGGCGUGCUUAACACAUGCAAGUCGAACGGGUCUGCCCUGUUUUUUGCGGGGUGGGUCAGUGGCGACCGGGUGAGUAACACGUGAGUAACCUGCCCCUCACUUCUGGAUAACCGCUUGAAAGGGUGGCUAAUACGGGGUGUUCUGGCUGUGCCGCAUGGUGUGGCUGGGAAAGAUUCACUUUUGUGGUGUUUUGGUGGGGGAUGGGCUCGCGGCCUAUCAGCUUGUUGGUGGGGUGAUGGCCUGCCAAGGCUUUGACGGGUAGCCGGCCUGAGAGGGUGGGCGGUCACACUGGGACUGAGAGACGGCCCAGACUCCUGCGGGAGGCAGCAGUGGGGGGUAUUGCACGAUGGGCGGAAGCCUGAUGCAGCGACGUCGCGUGAGGGAUGGAGGCCUUCGGGUUGUGAACCUCUUUCGCCGGUGAAGAAGGUCCUGCUCUUUGUGGUGGGGUUGACGGUAGCCGGGUUAUGAAGCGCCGGCUAACUACGUG
rnacentral:rRNA from 1 species